rnacentral:rRNA from 1 species
UAUAUAACUCUCUCGGACGGAUAUAUCUCCUCUCUCAUCUCUGAAAAAAAUAUCGAAAUGCGAUACUUGUGGUGAAUUGUGCAAACCCGUGAACCAUCUCGUCUUUGAACGCGAGUUGCGCCCGAGACCUUUUGGUUGAGGGGGCACCUGUGUGUGGGUCACGC